rnacentral:rRNA from 1 species
UGGGGAAUCUUGCACAAUGGGGGAAACCCUGAUGCAGCCAUGCCGCGUGGAGGAAGACACCCCUAUGGGGCGUAAACUCCUUUUCUGCGCGAAGAAACCCCUGUUGUUCAGGGCGUGACGGUACCGCAGGAAUAAGGACCGGCUAACUCCGUGCCAGCAGCCGCGGUAAUACGGAGGGUCCAAGCGUUGUCCGGAAUCACUGGGCGUAAAGGGUGUGCAGGUGGGGCAGCAAGUCAGAGGUGAAAGCCCGCGGCUUAACCGCGGAAGUGCCUUUGAAACUGUUGCUCUUGAGUCCCGGAGAGGUUGUUGGAAUUCGUGGUGUAGCGGUGAAAUGCGUAGAUAUCACGAGGAACACCAGAGGCGAAAGCGGACAACUGGACGGGUACUGACGCUCAGGCACGAAAGCGUGGGGAGCAAACA